GUUUCAGGGCUCCAACAUACUGCAGCACAUGAAAUCCAAUCUGACGUAAUGGGUCUCGAUUGGAGAAAGCUUACUCAUCAAAUCCAAUAUGUGGUUACAAAUUAGUCUUCUCUAGUUUAUCACUUCUUUUGCAAGUUUGAAUCUUUUAACUAUUUCAUUUUGUCACAUUCUAACUGCUUACAAAUUUUAUUGGGUUUUAACUUGCAAGUUUGACUUGUUGCACACGCAUUUUUAGCCUUUUACGCUAACCCUAGAUAGAUACUUGUUGAAAAUAUGUUGACUAGAAAACAAAGUAACAGACAAUAAUGGAUUUCCAUUUGGUAUGAGUGGCUCGAGUCUUAGCUUUUAAUUUUAUCUUCGGCCCUAUUCGGCAGGUUCGUUCAACAUUGUCAGCAGACAACAAAAAUUUCUUUUGGCGGGAAACUGGACAUGCCCUUAAGACUCAAAGAAGGUGAUUUCCGUUAGGCGGGAGAAAUGUUUCUGCAAAGGAUUGAGGCAUUUAACGAGCUAUAGGAUACGUUCACGUGAAGUACAGAUCAUAUCAAUUCGGAACAUCAAGGAUAAAAGGUUGAAAAUCCAACUUUUAACAAGAAAACACAAAAGCUGAUUUUACGAUGGCCUUGAUCCGUGAAUUAUAUGGGAGGUUCUUGUAUCAACCGCUGUAUUAUGCAAGCGCUAGUGUCAAUGACCAUUGGGGCAGCAUAUGCUUGAUUAGCGGGAAACACUGAAGCCUGUUUCUGCCUCUAUCUGGCAAUCGAUUCUUUUUCCAAAAAACGGUGAACCCAGCUUGUUGGCUGCUCUGUCAUAGGUGAAGUAAAUUUUACGUGAAAAGUCGUACUGACGAAAGGCUAAAAUGAGGAAAUGAAUCCGCCACGAUUGGAAAACUUAAAAACAAAAGGCCGAUCAAAAACUUCUUUACUUGAAAGACGGAGCAUGGGUAUCUAAACCUGUUUUUAGUAUUUCCUGGACCUAGACAAUCCACGAUUUUUAUACGUACAGUUGUAAUUUGCAGCUAAUAUGAGACUUUCAUGCAAAGUGGGCGUGAUUCCAUCGGUUGCUAUGUGUGUAAAAUUGCUCCGCCAGUUGCUAGGAUCGGAAGACUGAAAAUUUACCUUGACCCACAAUAUCGGCCUGUAAUUUUGAAAUAAAGGAAAAUCAUAGCAGCAGGAGUUCUGAUCUCCGCUAUCCAGGUACAUUUCCCCAGGUCAAAUUUGUUCAACGUCCCUUUGGGCUUUGUUCUCCGACAUUAGAGAAAAAAAAAACGCCAGCCGUUCGAUGUGCCACUGACCGUUUCUUGAACUUUCCAAUCACC